GAAAAUUUUCCCAUUUACUACAGUUGGCAUUACAUUGGUCUCCUAAUAAAAAAACAGUGUUAAUUUUAGAAAAUCAGUAUUUCCUAUUUUAGAGGAAGUAUGUAAAUUACUGUUGAUUCUUUAAAUGAGUAAGAAGUAAAAAACCUAUCAUAUGGUAUCAUUUACAGUGGUCUUGUAAUUUUAGUAUCUGUUCUGGUAAUAAGAAGAAUGUUGGCACAAUAAAAUCCAACCCAAAUACUUGAAACAGAAAUACACUUUUCUUACUAUGAAUUUCUUAGUCUUUCAGCCCUCUGCGUGCUAUAAAACUCAAUAGUUUUUAGUUUUAAGUCUUGAAUGUUCUCCUUGAUUGAGCAAUUAGAUUCUUUCUUUGCAGUUUUUAAGGCUUGUAGUCAGGCCCAGGACAUGGAGUCAGCUUAGCUCUGUCCUCUGUUGUGUUAAAGGCUCCCAGUGUGACCGCAGACAUGUAGUUUUAGCACUAAAAUUGGACAGAUUUUUAUUAGAGACUUGCCACUGACUUUUAUUGGAAUGAGAGCUCUUCUUGCUCUUCGGUUUUUCCCUCUGUAAACUGGGGGUGAUAUUUGUAUUUGCCUCAGAGGUUACGUGUGGACAAAUGCUUGAAAAAUGUGGAGGUCAGUAAUGGUAGGAGGCUUAGAAAUCUUUGAUAGAAGUUACAUGCAUACUUUCAGGGUAGAGUUUGUUCUUUCUAUAACAAAAGUAAAGAAAGCUAGAGAGAUUAAGCAGGUGGCAGCUGCUGAUAACAUCCUGACAGAGUACUGUGAUUACAUUUCUUUUUUUAAGUCAAUUGGAAGACUUUGGCACUACCAUGAAAUAGUGCUUGUCAUAUAUUUCUGUGAUACAGUCUUCAAAGAACAUUUUUUCCGAUUCUGAGAGAAAGGUAAAUAUGAGCCUAUGCAUUCUUUGAAGAAAACAUUUUUCCUUCAGAUAUUGGUUAACCAACCAUGUAUGUUAUUUAUUCUCAUGGUUAUUCAGUCUGGAAUCCACUGACGAUGCUUUAGGCUUUUAAUUGCUGAACUGAUCUUGGUUGUUUAGUUUUUGGAACAGCCACUACAGGCAGACCUAUACUCUGCAUUUAGUUUUGAGUACCUUUGCCCCUUGAUAAAAAAGGGUAAGUGCUAUGUUCUUAGGAGGAGGAACUAACGCGUGUGAACCAAGCCCAAGAUGAAAACACCAAAAAGGCCAAUAAGUUGCUUGAAUUUACAAGGGCAUAUUCACGUGACCAGAGUUUGUGGUAAAAAAAUAAUAAUCUUAAAGUAUGUUGUAGAUAUGCUUGCCUUGAUAGAUGCGUCUGUGUCCUGACUGAUGAGACCUAGUCAUGCAACUCUAUCCUUCCCCACCCAAACUGUGCUGUUAGAUGUCAGAGCAAAUACACUGUGCUUGUCAGAGUUUAUGUACGGUGCUACAAGUUAUGAAGGCCCAUCUCAGAUUAGUGGCAACAAAAUGGCUAGAUUUUAUCAACUGAUACAGCAUUGCACAGAAAGCUUUGGUAUGAGUGUCUUACAGGCCUUUGCUGUCUGGACACUUAAAACAUGUAUGUCCCUAAACAGAAAGAGUAAGAUAUCAUAGAAAUUACUUCACUGUUCUUUAACAGAAACACUUUCUGUUCAUAUCUGGCCUUGUGUGUUAACUGAAGUCUCUUCUUCCUUCUCUAGCAGAACACUUUAACCUCCAAAACAGUAUUUUGCAGUUUAUAGAGCCUGUUACAGCAUGUAAGUGUUAACAAUAAAGAUAAAUACUUUUCCAUUAAUAAAAUGAGCUCAUAGUCAGAAUUAUUUCCUCAAGGUAAAUCUUAGUUUCUACAAACUGAAAAUUUUCUAGUGAACAUUACUUUUUGUAAGAGACUAUUCAUUUCUGCAGGUAACUAUAGAUCAGAUUCCCUGAGCUUUUGUUUCUGUCACUGAUUACUGGCUUAAUAUGAAUUUGUAGAUGAGUAGUUUCAGCUUUGUGCCCUUGUUUCACCUGUCUGUAAAACGGAUAUUAUAAUCUCCUGUCUCUGAAGGAACUCUUAGAUUUUAAACUGCUCAAAGCUAGGAGCAAUUCCUUUAUGUGCUGUGCUUCAGCCUACAAAAGUGUCAGUUCUGGGUGGGAAGCUGAGGGACUACCAGGGUAAAAGUUUAAACAAUUAAUCAAGGUAAACAUUGUGACUUGUUUAAUAAUUUUGUUUGUUUUGUUAAUCCUUCUGAGAUAUUUUUGGAUGAAAAAUGUAAACAUCACAAGGCUUUUCUCUGCAACACUGUUACAGAUGCAUGCGAUUGUCGUGAUUGGGUCUGAAAUGUGUGCCCAUGGAGCUGAAGCUGCCAAGCAUGCUGCUAAGAAACUGUCUUGUGACUGUUCUGCUCUGUUGUUUGGGGUUUCUUUUAUGAAACCUCUGUUGGCCAGUCCUUAGUCCCAGUUGCUCAUGCUUUAACCCAUCUCAGGAUGCUAUUAUAUAUUAUUUUGUAAGCUAAUUGAAUUUGGCCAGAUGAGAAAAAAAUGCACAUGUGAGGUGCAGGAUAGUAGGGAAUUCAUUCUUUUCCUCUCAGGUUGUACUCAUGAACAGCUGCCCAUGUUUUUAUGGGGCCCACUGACACAAGUGAGUGCGGACAUCCACUGAUGCAAGCACAGACAGGAUGCAGGUGUUCACGUUAUUUUAGCCAGGUGUAACUGUGGUGUUGCUUGUGCUAAUGCAGGGCAUGCACUUUAACAUGUCAUGUCACAGCAUUUGACAGUGGCCAGAAACCUUUGUUCUUUACCCAGUAGAAGACAGAAAUGAGAGUUCAUGCUGAAUUACAGAAAUACAUGGAUUCAUUUACUUCAUGCAUGUAUUGAAAGUGGUUAGAUUAUAAUUUUCUGGUGAUUUUUUGUAAUAAAUAAAGAAAAAUAUGUGCCUCUAUUCAAAGUAGUUUUAUCUUGUGCUAGGUACUUUAAGAGCUUCUGGUAAUAAUUGUUUCUGAGUCUUGAGGGAAUUGCUUAUUUGCUAUUAUAUUCAACGUUUAUUUGUAGCUCAUUGUUCUGAUUAAAUUAAAAGUAGCAAAGUCAGAAAAAUCCUAGUUUCUAAGCAGGGAGAUACUAUAGUACUUGGUAACCACCCAGUUACUGGUAUUUUUUCUUUGCUUGCUCUUUUGUGCUCUGUAGCUUGUGUUAGCAUUUCUAAAUAUAUUCUGAUAUACACUUUUUCAUGGGUUACAAGACUACAAGAUCUUGUGUGACAAUAUCCCUUCUAUCUUAGCAGGAAUUUAAGAACCAAACCACUGAUUUCAUUUAUGUGUAAAUAAAAAAGACUCAGUCAAAGAAUGGCAAGAUACUUAAGAAUUUUGGGACUUCAUUUGGAUGUGAUAUUUUGUGUAUCUUAAACUCAGACUUUUCUUUUUUUCACAUAUCUGUCCAAGAAAGCUUGAGUUAUCACAAAGAUGAUUUUACAGUUUAUUACCCAAAAAGAUUUCUCUGACUUCAUUUACUAUUAUUCAUUUGCAUUGUUAGCAUUCAGCUCUUUGGGAAUAUAACUUUGUACCCCUGGGAGCACGCUUUUUUCUGAAAUCACAAUGAAAUAUGUGUUUGCUAAUUUAUAUCACAUCAGGAUUGUCUUUGCUAAUUUACUGGACAAACAAACUGUGUAUCUUUAUGCAGAAGGAGAGAGAGAGAAGUGAGAGCUGUAGAGGACUGCUGCCUCAGACCUGCUGUUGCCAUAGAGCCGCUCACAAUGAAAAAAACUGCAGCAUGGAUUUCUUCUGCUGUUGAAGUAUUACUAACUCAGAAGAAAUGCUGAACGUUAAGCCUACUAAACCUUUCCUGGCAAUCACAAAACUCUGGUUCCAAGAUCAGAAACCCCUGUGGCAAAAAAUCUGCCGUCUGCUGGCCAAGGAGAGAAGUACCCACCAAGCAUUGCAACGCACAGGCUGGAGCGCAUCAGCAUGAUUUCAGCAUUGGGAGAAACUGGCAGUUUUGCACAGCUCUUCAGCAGUAGAUCUGAAACAGGCCUGGUCAGUAGUUUUCUGACAGCAUAUUUUUCUAUCAGAAAGUGCUGUUUUGUUAUAAUUAAAGCUUUCUGUGGGAACGUGUCAAUGAGAAAUUUGAAUGUUCCGUUCUAAAAAUAGCGGAACAUUCUGUUUCAAAAUUUUUAAACUGGAACAUGUAGGGUUUUAUUCCAGAAUUUUUUUUAGAGUAAUUAUUUUUGUACCUUAUAAAAAGAAGUAGUUGAAAUUGUUGUCUUUGUAUCAAACAUUAAUGAAACCUCUCAUCAUCACUGUAAUGUGGUCAAUUCAAGGCAGUCAAGAAUCUAGGAGUCUUGGCUUUUUUUACCCUGUUCUGACCACUUAGACUAUGUCUCACUACUUGUGGUCAUACAUGUAUGCUCUGUAGGGAGACUAGGUCGAGAAUGGCUCUUUUUUCAUUCAGAUGAGGGCGAUCGGAGAUGGGAAGAAAACUUUUCUCAUCUCUGCAUCUUUGUUUCUUUUAUUGUAAUUUUGCAUUAAUUACUUGCUACAGUAAUUUAAAUAAAAAACUGUUUUGAGUGUGUACCUCUUUUAAUAAUACAGCAUACACAAAGAGUUCCCAGUUAUAACCAAAAUCAUACCAGUCAAUAUUCAGAAAAAAGAAAAGAAGCAAACAAGUAAAGGGAACUCUCAAGGCUUUUCUUUGCCUAGCUUCUAAGUUUAGUACUUGUCAUGUGCUAAAAAGAAAAGAUAGAUUUUGUGUUUUAUCCUGCAAGGAAAAGAAUGAAAUGAAAAAAGGCACGAUUUGAUUUGUGAUAGUUCCAUGUGCUAUUAUUUUUAUAUCUUACCUUAAAAUGGGGUUCAAGCUAGGUUGUAUGACUUCUAAAACAUUGGUAACUUUGUUUUUCAGAAAGAAAGGAAAUAAAGCCUUCUGAUUGUAUACAUUGCAUACAUUGAUCCAUACAGAGGGAAAACAUAUUUUAUUUUGCCAAAAAUAUUUGGUGCUCUUUAGCUGAUGUAUCCUACCAAAAACUCAACUGUUAGAAGAUAUCCAGAAUAGAAAAUUCAGUCCAGUCUCUAAAUUAUGCACAACCUAAUAAUGGAAAAAGGCAGGCAAUUUUUAGGUAAUUCACAUGUUUGUCAUCAGAUUUUGUCAUCUGAUCUGUAAUAUAUGUGUACCUCUGCCACAUGAAAACCUGUCAACCUUAGUGCCUCUACUGUGUAGUUAACAUAAUACACAUAGGGAAUAAUAAAGCUGCUUCGUUUAGGAUUCUCUCAGCUGUCCCCAUUCUCUGAUUCAACAGAACAACCUGCUAGUGAUAGACUGGUGGUAAUAACUAAUUUGUGUAAAGAAAUUGAAAGGUAAAACAGGUUCCUUUGUUUUAUUUUGUUCUUUAAAAGAUUCACUCCAGUAAAUUAGAGAAGUAUUAUUUCAGAUAUCUAAGAAAGGCAUCUUUGCUCUAUAUUGGCUGUCUUUUGUCUUACCCAUAUUUGAUUGAGAUUUUUCAUGUAAUCUGCGAAAUUCUCUGUGUCAUUGUUCUAAACUUAAUACAGUGAGAUUUGAUGCAGUGAUUCACUUUGUGCUUAUAGUAACUUGAGGCAGAUGAGAUAGAAUUUUAACUUCUGCAGCAGAAGGCUGUUGACUUGCCUGGUCCCUUUGCUAGACUGGUUCUGAAUCAUUGGUGCCAUUGCCUGAUAUACAUCUUUGCAAAUAUAUGCAAAUACAGAAUAUUGCUGCAUGGUCUUAGGUCCCCAGAAAUACUGGUGACCUACUUGAGUAUCUUAGCUAACAGAAUAGAAGCUUUUAUCUCUUAACAUUUUAUACAUUUCAAAAGGCAGUAUUUUUCUUAUUUUUCUAUGUAUAAUUUCUGAAAAGGAUCCUACAAUGUUUGAAUUAUACUAAAGCAUCUGAGAGAUCAAAGAGUUUCUCAUUUUCAGGAGUUGAGUUUUGUGUUGCUGGAUUGAUGUUUUCUACUGUGGAAG